CAAAAACUAAAGUUCCAUUCUCCAAAUACCCAUUUUUCUCCAAAAUAGAUUUCUUCUCCAAAUCAUCUAUCAUGCGUCUCCAAAUCCUUGUUGCUUGUUGUGCUUGAGUCUCCAAAUCGAUUUCCACCACGCAUCGCACGAUUGACUUUGAAACGGUGACGGUGAAGUACGAUUUGAAUUGUUUACCCAAAUCCCUUCGAUUUCGAAACGUGGUUGUCUCCAAUCCUUCGUUAUCAACUUUCACGCCCAAAAUUCUAUCGAUUUACGGUUCAAAUCCCAAAUCUCACGAAGCACAGUUUCGACACGUUCUACAUUUUUGGAAUUUUCGGCCUUGCUGCGUUCUUAGCUGCGUUUUCAGCAUUGGUGCAUUCUCGGCAUUGCUGCGUUCUUGCUUCUUUGCAUUUUUCAGCUCAUCAUUGUAGCCAUAAUGGACAAUGUAAUUGGUACAAAAGACGGAGAAUAACCGGGCAGCAACUUGCAUCCUAGCUCCAGUCAAAAGUGACAUUUAAUGAUAAUGGUCAGCCUAUUGGGCCAACUGCAAAAGUAGUAGCUCGCUUCGGUCUUUUCUUGGGAACAUUGGCUAGGAACUCAAUUUGUCCUCUAAUUUACACAAAUUGGUCAGGAAUGCCAAAAAAGAAUAAAAGACGUUGCUGGAGAUAUUCUAAUCAGAAGCAUAUCUUGCCGGCUGAGGCACGAAGUUGGGUUGACAAAACUGUUAGAGAUGUAUGGAGAAGAUAUAAGCAUGAAAUUAAGAAGAGGACGACAUAGGUGAUGAACUUGAAGAGGACGACAUAGGUGGCAAAGAGGAUGAUGAAAAUGAUAAUGAGUUGGAUGAUGUUGUUUUAGGAUUGAACUAAGCAUUAAACUUGAAGAAACUAUGUAUUUUGUCAUUUUGUUAGACUUGUACUUCUAAGUAUUAAAUUUAUUGUGGUAAGCCAUGUUAGACAUUGUGUCUACAAUGUGAGUAUUUGAGUUAAU